rnacentral:rRNA from 1 species
GGGCCCGCACAAGCGGUGGAGCAUGUGGUUUAAUUCGAUGAUACGCGAGGAACCUUACCAGGACUUAAAUGUAAGUUGCAUGAUUCAGAAAUGGAUCUUUCUUCGGACUACUUACAAGGUGCUGCAUGGUUGUCGUCAGCUCGUGCCGUGAGGUGUCAGGUUAAGUCCUAUAACGAGCGCAACCCCUAUCGUUAGUUGCCAUCAAGUAAAGUUGGGAACUCUAGCGAAACUGCCGGUGCAAACCGUGAGGAAGGUGGGGAUGACGUCAAAUCAUCACGGCCCUUACGUCCUGGGCCACACACGUGCUACAAUGGUCAGUACAGAAAGCAGCCACUAUGCGAAUAGGAGCUAAUCUUCAAAGCCGGUCUCAGUUCGGAUCGCAGUCUGCAACUCGACUGCGUGAAGCUGGAAUC